UAAAGCAAGAAAGGGCGUAUGGGGAAUGCCUAGGCACACUCCGGCGAAGAAGGACGCAGCAAACAGCGAAAUGCGACGGUGAGCGGUAAGCACGUGAAGAGCCGUCGAUAUCCGAAUGGGGGAACCCACACGGAGUCAUAUCCGUGUAUCACAUGUCGAAUACAUAGACAUGAUGAGGCGAGACGCAGGGAACUGAAACAUCUAAGUACCUGCAGGAAGAGAAAAUAAGAAUGAUUUUCUGAGUAGCGGCGAGCGAAAGGGAAAGAGCCCAAACCGAUUUUAGGAUCGGGGUAGUAGGAUCAUCGAGGAAUCUGACAGAGGAUCAUAGAGGAAUCACAUGGGAAGGUGAGCGAGAGAGGGUGAGAGCCCCGUACUCGAAAUGAGAGACUGGAGAGAGAUGACACCUGAGUAGGGCGGGACACGAGAAAUCCUGUCUGAAUCAGCCGGGACCAUCCGGCAAGGCUAAAUACGAGAGAGUGACCGAUAGUGAACCAGUACCGUGAGGGAAAGGUGAAAAGAACCCCGGGAGGGGAGUGAAAGAGAACCUGAAACCAUAUGCCUACAAGAAGUCAGAGCCCGUUAAAGGGUGAUGGCGUGCCUUUUGUAGAAUGAACCGGCGAGUUACUGUAUGGAGCGAGGUUAAGCAGGAUAUGCGGAGCCGAAGCGAAAGCGAGUCUUAAGAGGGCGCGAGUUGCAUGCAGUAGACCCGAAACCGGGUGAUCUAGCCAUGACCAGGUUGAAGUUGGGGUAAAACCCGAUGGAGGACCGAACCGACCCCCGUUGAAACGUUGGCGGAUGAGUUGUGGCUAGGGGUGAAAUUCCAAUCGAACCCGGAGAUAGCUGGUUCUCCCCGAAAUAGCUUUAGGGCUAGCGUCGAGAGAAGAGUUGCGUGAAGGUAGAGCACUGAAUAUGUGAUGGCCCCAUCUCGGGGUACUGAGCAUAAUCAAACUGCGAAUGUCACGCCAACAUGCUCGGCAGUCAGACAGCGGGUGAUAAGGUCCGUUGUCAAGAGGGAAACAGCCCAGACCAUCAGCUAAGGUCCCAAAAUGUAUGCUAAGUGGAAAAGGAUGUGGAGAUGUACAGACAACUAGGAGGUUGGCUCAGAAGCAGCCAUCCUUUAAAGAGUGCGUAACAGCUCACUAGUCGAAUGACUCUGCGCCGAUAAUUUACCGGGGCUAAGCAUACUACCGAAGCUAUGGAUCCCAAGGGAUGGUAGGGGAGCGUUCCAUGAACGGAGAAGUACGACCGAAAGGACGUGUGGAGAUCAUGGAAGAGAGAAUGCCGGUGUGAGUAGCGGAACGUGGGUGAGAAUCCCACGCACCGAAAACCCAAGGUUUCCAGAGGAAGGUUCGUCCGCUCUGGGUAAGUCGGGACCUAAGGCGAGGCCGAAAGGCGUAGUCGAUGGACAACAGGUAGAGAUUCCUGUACCCGUAUAUAUGUGAAGGAAUGACGGAGAGAGGAAGCUGCAGCCAGCGGCUGGAAGAGCUGGUGCAAGCGAGAUAUCGGGAUGGCAGGCAAAUCCACCAUCCGAAACGAGAAGGCGUGAAGCGUACGGAAAGCUACGGCGAGUACGGAAGGCAGUGGAGGAACUUCCAAGAAAAGUUUCUAACGUUAAGUAUAUAUGGCCCGUACCGAAAAUGGACACACAUGGGUGAGGAGAGAAUCCUAAGGUGAGCGAGAGAACUAUAGCUAAGGAACUCUGCAAAAUGACUCCGUAACUUAGGGAGAAGGAGUGCUCAUAGAGAUAUGAGCCGCAGUGAAACGGCCCAAGCGACUGUUUACCAAAAACACAGCUCUCUGCUAAGCCGCAAGGCGAAGUAUAGGGGGUGACGCCUGCCCGGUGCUGGAAGGUUAAGGGGAGGGGUUAACGCAAGUGAAGCCCUGAACUGAAGCCCCAGUAAACGGCGGCCGUAACUAUAACGGUCCUAAGGUAGCGAAAUUCCUUGUCAGGUAAGUUCUGACCCGCACGAA
rnacentral:rRNA from 1 species